rnacentral:lncRNA from 1 species
GAGAGCUCACAGCCAAUUUCAUGAGACGGUGCUACAUUAUCGUGCCUUCUUGCAUGAGGAAUUCAAGGCCACAUGCGGUUUCGUCACUUGUCAAAGGUUAGUGUUGCUGAGGUUAGAACUGGGUCCCACUUUGAUCUGAUUCCAAAGCCUGAUCCCUUAACUAGUGUGUGGAGCUGACUGCAGGGAGACUGCUACACCCAGGAAGAGCUGCAGCUGUCUCAGUGGCAGCGUGGAACCAAGGUCUACAGUGGCUGCUGAGGUCAGACUUGAAGAAAUGACUCACAUGCAAGGCUGAUCUACAUAAGUAGCCUGUGCUAAGACUGCCAUCUGGUAGAACAAUCUACAUCACACGACUCCACGUUUCCUGUUACCCAAGCAUCUCCAUGCUCUGCAGGUGCAGCUUCGAUGGACCAUGGCCAUAUUGCCCCACUACUAUCAAUCACACUGAGAUGUAGUCCACAGCAUUCAACAAGCCACCACUCAUGGGAUAGAGGAUAGGCAAAAGGAACAACUAAGACAGUAGAGGAGCCCAGCACUCCGAACCCCUAAUCAUGCCUUCGGUGGAUUCCUUUGGUAAAGUUUUCCUUUGUGGGUUUCUUUCAGCACUUGACCCAUAGCCCAUGGAAUGUGUCAGCUCUAAUUGCCUGUGUGGAUUGGCACAAGUCGUGCCUCAAAAUUGGAAUGUUGUCACAUAUAACAUAGCCUUUCAGAGGGAUAAAUGUGGAAAAUGUUUUACCCAUGAAUUCCUUAGAAGCAAUUGUGCUCUAUCACGUGAAAGGCUGAAGACCUGGACAGAACCUAAUGACUAUAUCCCCAAGAUCCCCAAGGUUCAGUGGCUUUCAGGAUGUUGCUCUCCCUGACUCCAUGGACAUCACAGAAUGACAGUUGUCCACUGGAGUAUUCUUCACCCAGGCAGCUUUCUAAAAAAAGGAAAUUUGAGAGUUGCAAGGACAGAUGAAGGGGCUGAGGGCCUGGGAUCCCUUUAUGUGAGACUCAUUAUUGAAGAACAACUUAUACAAUUAUUAUCUGAGGACCAGGUGACAGCUGUCAAGAAGGCCUCCUUGUAAGAGGGUGCAGAAUAUAUGAAAUUUGUCUUUAGGUGAUGAUCUACUACUAAGAGUGAUGCUAUGAGGUUGGCAUCUAAGGAAAAGAAAAGAGGCUGGCAUAUGGUGAGCACCUAGUCUGUGCCAUGAAUUGUGAACUUAACCUUGAAUUCUCGUAUGUUCAUCUAAGGUCUGUUUUCUUUAAGGAGAGAUUGUGACCCUCUUGGUCUGGUAUGCAAGCUGUGAUGAAUACAGAGCUCUUCAGAUGGAUCAACCCUUUCCUUACUCACUCUACAGCUAUCCUCACCAGACAGACACACAGACAGAUAGAUAGACAGACAGACACAGGUAGAAGGACAUGCAUUUGGACCAAACACUACAGCAAAAUAGCUCAAAGAUCAUUUCAUACAUCAUAAAUUCAGAUAACUUUCUUCUUUUUCCAUAAAUAGUUCUAAUUUAAAAUACACAGUCAAACACCAACAUGUUGUUACCAAAAACAAAACAAAGCAAAGCAAAACAAAACAAACACUAUAAUAUUAUUUGGGGACCCUAAGCUUGUCAAUGAAUCUGUUUAAUUUUGGAGGUAAAAUUAGCCAGGUUUUGAGAUUGAGCUGACUAUCACAAAACCAGAACUUUCCAUCAGCUGGAGAGGGGCAGUUAAUAACUGCCUCCGGG